rnacentral:rRNA from 1 species
GACGAACGCUGGCGGCGUGCCUAACACAUGCAAGUCGAACGGAGUGAAACGCUGAUUUGACGGUAGCUUGCUACUUGAUUUUCUUGUUUCACUUAGUGGCGGACGGGUGAGUAACGCGUGAGCAACCUGCCUCUAAGUGGGGAAUAACAUUUGGAAACGAAUGGUAAUACCGCAUAAUAUAUAUUUGCCGCAUGACAGAUAUAUCAAAAGAUUUAUCGCUUAGAGAUGGGCUCGCGUCCGAUUAGGUAGCUGGUGAGGUAACGGCUCACCAGGCCGACGAUCGGUAGCCGGACUGAGAGGUUGAACGGCCACAUUGGGACUGAGACACGGCCCAG